UAGGGAAUCUUCCGCAAUGGACGAAAGUCUGACGGAGCAACGCCGCGUGAGUGAAGAAGGAUUUCGGUUCGUAAACCUCUGUUGUUAGGGAAGAAAAAAUGUAUAGUAACUAUAUACAAAAGAGACGGUACCUAACCAGAAAGCCACGGCUAACUACGUGCCAGCAGCCGCGGUAAUACGUAGGUGGCAAGCGUUGUCCGGAAUUAUUGGGCGUAAAGCGCGCGCAGGUGGUUUAGAAAGUCUGAUGUGAAAGCCCACGGCUCAACCGUGGAGGGUCAUUGGAAACUAAUAAACUUGAGUGCAGGAGAGAAAAGUGGAAUUCCUAGUGUAGCGGUGAAAUGCGUAGAGAUUAGGAGGAACACCGGUGGCGAAAGCGGCUUUUUGGCCUGCAACUGACACUGAGGCGCGAAAGCGUGGGGAGCAAACAGG
rnacentral:rRNA from 1 species